rnacentral:rRNA from 1 species
UACGGGGGGGGCAAGCGUUGUUCGGAAUUACUGGGCGUAAAGGGCUCGUAGGCGGCCAACUAAGUCAGACGUGAAAUCCCUCGGCUUAACCGGGGAACUGCAUCUGAUACUGGAUGGCUCGAGUUUGGGAAAGGGAUGCGGAAUUCCAGGUGUAGCGGUGAAAUGCGUAGAUAUCUGGAGGAACACCGGUGGCGAAGGCGGCAUCCUGGACCAACACUGACGCUGAGGAGCGAAAGCCAGGGGAGCAAACGGG